CUUGUUGUCCAAAAUAAGGCGCAAAUAUUUGUGUGGCUAGAAAGCAUUUCAUUAAGGGUAAAAUGAGAAGUUUAAAGUUCACUCGUUACUAUAUAUAGAGAGGUGUCCUUCUCUUUGGGACGGACUAAAAUGGAAAGAGUGUCACAUAAUUUGGGACGGAAGCAGUAUAGGUUUUGAGCCAAAGUUAAUGGGUUCAGAUAAACAUGUAACAUAUGCUAUGUAUGGUUAAGUCCAAAUUUUCUCUUUUUUGCAAGUAAAAAGACCCAUUUUUCAACACCCAUUAUUAUUAGUAAUUCAUCACAGAACCUAAAAUAUUGUGCAACAAUUUUGGUUUCUCUGGACUUGCUUUUACAACUCUAAUUGUGGGCCCUGCCUCUGGUUUUGAGUUAGCUAUAAUGGGUUCUUCUUCUUUUCAGUUCAAUGAACCUUCUAAUGCUCUGUCAUUACACACCUGGGCUAGUCAUGUUUCCAGUGUUGUUGAAUGGAUUACCGCUAUGGCUCUCGUUUGGCAAUACGGGGAGAAGUCAGGGUAUGAAUCUUGGAAGGGACUCUCCUGGGCAAUGGUGCCCCUGCUGGGAGGAGCACUCUGUGCCUGCACUUGGCAUUUCUUUUAUAACUCGGAGUCUCUUGAGGUAGUAGUGGCUCUCCAAGCGGCUUUGACAGUAAUAGGUAAUGCCACAAUGUGCUUUGCAGCAUUCCGGAUAUACAGAUCACCAGAGAAGCAGUCAAAAAAAUUGUGAGCGUCGUUGAGUCUAGUGUGUACUUUCUCCAGUCUCCUCGCCCCGAUCAGUUUCUGUUUCUAAGUCUAACAGGAAGAUACGAACAUAUGGCGUGUAGUGAGAAAUGAUGUGUAAAACGCGAUGAAGUCGUUGCUUUCAUGGGUAAGAAAUGAGGAGUUUUUAGCAAGAAGAUAUACCAGUGUGCAUUGAGCUAUCUCCGGUAGAAAUCAGAAGUGGAUCCAGGAUUUGUUCAACCUUCUAGGUUUUUAGACUGAAUUUAUUGUACUUCUGAAAUUAUGUGUUUGGGAGUUAAUAUUUGUUGAGAUUUUAGUGAUGUUUUCACAUAUAUAUCUAUGUUUUCAUGUCACGAAUAAAGAAGGAUUCAUCUGCCUCUAGACGAAGGAUCUAAAAUAUUUUUUUUUUUGUUUUUUUGUUUUUUUGGUAAUAGUGAAGUUUGAAUCAGUUUGUGCG